rnacentral:rRNA from 1 species
GACGAACGCUGGCGGCGUGCUUAACACAUGCAAGUCGAACGGAAAGGCCCUGCUUUUGUGGGGUGCUCGAGUGGCGAACGGGUGAGUAACACGUGAGUAACCUGCCCUUGAUUUUGGGAUAACUUCAGGAAACUGGGGCUAAUACCGGAUAGGAGCUCCUGCUGCAUGGUGGGGGUUGGAAAGUUUCGGCGGUUGGGGAUGGACUCGCGGCUUAUCAGCUUGUUGGUGGGGUAGUGGCUUACCAAGGCUUUGACGGGUAGCCGGCCUGAGAGGGUGACCGGCCACAUUGGGACUGAGAUACGGCCCAGACUCCUACGGGAGGCAGCAGUGGGGAAUAUUGCACAAUGGGCGGAAGCCUGACGCAGCAACGCCGCGUGCGGGAUGACGGCCUUCGGGUUGUAAACCGCUUUCGCCUGUGACGAAGCGUGAGUGACGGUAAUGGGUAAAGAAGCACCGGCUAACUACGUG